rnacentral:tRNA from 1 species
GCUUUCGUGAUAUAUAUGAUCAUCAUGCCCACCUGAUAAUUGGAAGAUCUGUGGUUCGAAUCCUGACGAAAGCA